rnacentral:tRNA from 1 species
GGAUCGAUACCCAAGUCCGGUUUAAGGGGCUCGACUCAAGUUCGAGUGCGUAUGCAUCGUGGGUUCGAAUCCCACUCGAUUCA